rnacentral:sRNA from 1 species
UUUUUCGAGCGGGUUUCAAGAGUCUAACGUGAAGACAUUUUGCUCCAAGAAUAUCCUAGCCAUCCUUGGCUUCUCCUCUAUCAUAGCUGUGAUAGCUUUGCUUGCUGUGGGGUUGACCCAGAACAAAGCAUUGCCAGAAAACGUUAAGUAUGGGAUUGUGCUGGAUGCAGGUUCUUCUCACACAAGUUUAUACAUCUAUAAGUGGCCAGCAGAAAAGGAGAAUGACACAGGGGUGGUGCAUCAAGUAGAAGAAUGCAGGGUUAAAGGAUGGAAAGUGAAGAGUUGGCAGACAGGGUUCUGGAUGUGGUGGAGAGGAACCUCAGCAACUACCCCUUUGACUUCCAGGGCGCCAGGAUCAUUACUGGCCAAGAGGAAGGUGCCUAUGGCUGGAUUACUAUCAACUAUCUGCUGGGCAAAUUCAGUCAGAAAACAAGGUGGUUCAGCAUAGUUCCAUAUGAAACCAAUAAUCAGGAAACCUUUGGAGCUUUGGACCUUGGGGGAGCCUCUACACAAAUCACUUUUGUACCCCAAAACCAGACUAUCGAGUCCCCAGAUAAU